UACGUAGGGUGCGAGCGUUGUCCGGAAUUAUUGGGCGUAAAGGGCUCGUAGGCGGUCUGUCACGUCGGGAGUGAAAACUCAGGGCUUAACCCUGAGCCUGCUUCCGAUACGGGCAGACUAGAGGUAUGCAGGGGAGAACGGAAUUCCUGGUGUAGCGGUGAAAUGCGCAGAUAUCAGGAGGAACACCGGUGGCGAAGGCGGGUCUCUGGGCCGUAACUGACGCUGAGGAGCGAAAGCUAGGGGAGCAAACGGG
rnacentral:rRNA from 1 species